rnacentral:rRNA from 1 species
UACGUAGGGCGCAAGCGUUGUCCGGAAUUAUUGGGCGUAAAGAGCUCGUAGGCGGUUUGUUGCGUCGGCUGUGAAAUCCCGAGGCUCAACCUCGGGUCUGCAGUCGAUACGAGCAAACUAGAGUGUUGCAGGGGAGAGUGGAAUUCCUGGUGUAGCGGUGAAAUGCGCAGAUAUCAGGAGGAACACCGGUGGCGAAGGCGGGUCUCUGGGCCGAUACUGACGCUGAGGAGCGAAAGCGUGGGGAGCGAACAGG